AGUGAGAUUCUAAGUAGGUGCACGACAACCUCUGGUCGUGUUUGAUUGCAACGCUGAGAACACAACAUUGGACAUUUGCAGGGACAAAUUUUUGGUAGAAGAUUUGAUGAAUGGGGUAUUUCCAUGCCUUUAUGACAGCGUUGAUCAGCAGUUAGUAGCUGCAAGGUAGCAUUUUCAUUGGAUGUCAGGCUCAUGUUGAUGUUUUCAGUUGUUGUAAUGUUGAGGCUACUGACAUAUGAUUCUUCAUCUGACAUAUUUUGAGGACACGCAGUGCAAUUGUUGUUGUCUAGUUCAAUUUAUCUUCAUAUAUUUCUGGAAUAUAUCUUUUUUGGUUUUUGCAGUCUAUGGAUAAAUAUUUUGUUAACUAGUAAUGCAUUUGAGUGCAUUAUACCUGAGGAUUUAAUCCAUUUUAUUUGUUGCUGUUUCCAUCA